rnacentral:rRNA from 1 species
GUGUCAGCAGCCGCGGUAAUACGUAGGUGGCAAGCGUUGUUCGGAAUUACUGGGCGUAAAGCGCGUGUAGGCGGCUCUUCAAGUCAGACGUGAAAGCCCCAGGCUCAACCUGGGAACGGCGUUUGAUACUGUCGAGCUUGAGUGUGGAAGGGGCGAUUGGAAUUCCGUGUGUAGCGGUGAAAUGCGUAGAUAUACGGAGGAACACCAGAGGCGAAGGCGGAUCGCUGGGCCAACACUGACGCUGAGACGCGAAAGCUAGGGGAGCAAACGGGAUUAGAUACCCCAGUAGUCC